AACGAACGCUGGCGGCAGGCUUAACACAUGCAAGUCGAACGUGAAGCCUCAAGCUUGCUUGAGGUGGAAAGUGGCAGACGGGUGAGUAACGCGUGGGAAUUUACCCAGUGGUUCGGAAUAACUUCGGGAAACCGGAGCUAAUACCGGAUACGCCCUCCGGGGGAAAGAUUUAUCGCCAUUGGAUGAGCCCGCGUCGGAUUAGCUUGUUGGUGAGGUAACGGCUUACCAAGGCGACGAUCCGUAGCUGGUCUGAGAGGAUGAUCAGCCACACUGGGACUGAGACACGGCCCAGACUCCUACGGGAGGCAGCAGUGGGGAAA
rnacentral:rRNA from 1 species